GACGAACGCUGGCGGCGUGCUUAACACAUGCAAGUCGAACGGAAAGGCCCUGCUUUUGUGGGGUGCUCGAGUGGCGAACGGGUGAGUAACACGUGAGUAACCUGCCCUUGACUUUGGGAUAACUUCAGGAAACUGGGGCUAAUACCGGAUAGGAGCUCCUGCUGCAUGGUGGGGGUUGGAAAGUUUCGGCGGUUGGGGAUGGACUCGCGGCUUAUCAGCUUGUUGGUGGGGUAGUGGCUUACCAAGGCUUUGACGGGUAGCCGGCCUGAGAGGGUGACCGGCCACAUUGGGACUGAGAUACGGCCAAGACUCCUACGGGAGGCAGCAGUGGGGAAUAUUGCACAAUGGGCGGAAGUCUGAUGCAGCAACGCCGCGUGCGGGAUGACGGCCUUCGGGUUGUAAACCGCUUUCGCCUGUGACGAAGCGUGAGUGACGGUAAUGGGUAAAGAAGCACCGGCUAACUACGUG
rnacentral:rRNA from 1 species